CUCAAAGGGGUACGGUGCUCAUGUGCACAUUUUAAAUCUGGUGCAUCCAUCUUACAUCUAACAGCAGCACCAAUUUUGUGAAGCACCCCUUCCACCUUCCUCCCCUGGUGGAAGGGGUUCUUCGUAAAAUUAGCUGGUGCCGUUGAAUGCAAGAUGGAUGCACCAGAUUUAAAAUGUGCACAUGAGCACUAGAUACGUUCCCCUCCCUCAAAGAUCUCAGGCCACCGCUUCUAUUUUUGCCUACCUGCCUCCGCUCCCCCUCACUCUGCACACCACAUCUGCCCCUUCCUCUCUCCGCGCGCACUCUGUGUCCGUGCACAUCGGAGGUGUGCCGCUGCCGGCUACGAAGAAGGAGCCCCCGCUACAAAGAAGAUUGGAGAUGACUCGGCAUGUUUCCUUACACCCGUAAAUACGAGACAAAGCUAGAACAGCCUAAUGGUUUAUAGAGACUGUGGGAAGAGAAGUCUCUUUCGGAUCUCUACCCUUCCCUCGCCACCCGUCAAGGAGAUUUGUGUUCCUUGCACAAUCUAGCAGACCCGGACGCCAGUGGGGAGGCGGCGGGUGUUCGUGUAGAUAGAGACUGGCUGCAUUCUCGGCAUGUACCUGGACCGCGGGGACUACGCGCACACCGUCAAGCGUUGCUUGCAGCUCACGCUCAACGUGCCCAGCAGCGAGAACUUGCUCACCUUCGACGAUCGCGUUCUAGAGGAAAAAUGCUUGGGUAAAGGAGUUUGGCUUGGAGGCUAUGUGGAAGAGCCCGAAUGGCACAAUUAGGAACAUUCUGAAUGGCACUGUGUUCAGAGAACCAAUCAUCUGCAAAAAUGUCCCAUAGAUUGUUGUAGAUAUGGAAGGAAGACCACAAUCAUAGGUGACUGCUAAUGCGUCAAGUGCCUACCCCAAGAAUAUAGAGUAUCCAUGCGGUGGUGUGGAGGAUAUGACAAGGCUAGCAUAGUUACAUGAACUAGGAGUGCUUCAACACCUAAAGUCUAGAUUUAUGAUAAAAUGAAAUAUAUGUAAGUUGAGUUUCUCAACACAUCAUCCCUGAUGAGAACAACAAAGAGUUCGGGUCUCUACUGCGCCAACAAAGAGUCCUGAACAUUUUGACCGAGCAAGCACUACGGAAGAGCCAACCUCUUACUAUAUCCAACCUAAAUCAUGAAAAGGCUGAAUUACUGACUACCAGACCUCAAGGGGACAGCAAAGAUAGAACAUCUAUGUUUGCAAGUUCUUUCAAUGCACAUCUGUCCAGGAGGCUAUGUUGAUUAGCCAACCCAAUCCGAAGGAUGGUUCUCCUGGGGCUGCAUCUGCUAUACCAGAAACAGAUCUGCCAGAAAUUGUCCAGGUGAUAAGAUCACGUCGAGAUGGUAUCCAUAAGGUGGUGGAAUUACUGCAGCACAAGUUUCCAAAUGUUUCAAAGACUCAGCUGAAUCGCAAAGUGUGAGAGAGAUAUAUGACUUUGUUGACAAUCAUUGGAAGGGCAAGAUGAAUUUAACAUGUUAUGUACUGCAUGUAAAGAAAGAGGUGCUUGACAAGCUAGGAUUAGAUUCGUCACCAGUGAAAUCCAAGAAGAAUAAAAGCAUAGCCAUGUACUUCUCGAAGAGAUGUUUACCUCCUAAAGAAGCUGUCAAUGCUCUGUCUGCUUCUCCUGAGUUGCGGUUGAAAUCUAGAGCCAUUCAAAAUGGCAAUGGUGGCACCGAAGCUCCUCAGAUCAAUCUAUUCCCUCCAAAGCAGUAGAGUUUUUAACAGGAUACCCUGAAAGUCGGAUCAGGUAUAAAUGAAGCUAUGCACCCAGGUGAGCACAAAGCUCAGAGGUCCAUGUCCCUCCCAUGGCUAUGGAAGUGCGUGCAACUUGGUUUUGCAUAUGGAUGAUCUGGAUCGAUUAUGUUUCCAGUGCUUCACAUGUUGUAAUUUUAGCCUGAAAGUAGGUUUGUUCAUGAAGGACAUUCAGUUCAAAUGUUUGACCUAUUGUUAAGGCAAGGCAUUGUUCUCUGCAACAUGUGCUUUGUUAUGAACAUUAUGUGCACUCUGUGAUCCCAGAGACCUUAUGAUGCUCUUUACCUUGCAAUCCGGAUGGUUGAUGCAUUUUAUGCCUUAUUUUUAUUUUUAUUUAUAUUAAUACCCUAUAUUGUUUUUUUAUUUUGGGAUGAAGUGCGCAUGAGUUUUGUAGUGUGGGUGAUGAUGCUUGUCUUAUUCUGUGGGAUGCUCGAACUGGCACUGCCCCAACUGUUAAGGUUGAGAAAGCUCACAGUGGAGAUGUUCAUUGUGUUGAUUGGAAUCCCCUUGAUGUUAACUAUAUCUUAAUUGGGUAUAUGG